UGAGAUACCAGUCUGUAAAAGCCGUUCGUUAUGUUUAUGUUUGCUAGGCUACUUUAAGGUUUCAUAAAAAUCAAUAUUGAUCACUACCGUUACAGGUACAAUCAAUGAACCAGCUUACAGAACUGCUGAACGGGCUCAUCCAAAUGCAGAUGGUAACAACUAAGAUAUGGAAUCAGCUUUCAUCACCCACAGCACUGUCACAGCAUCACAUUCUUUGCUGCUGCCUCCAUUUUGACAAUUUUAAGAAGAAAAGGAAGACAGGUGGUGUAUGGUGGCUGGAGUUCGUAAGCAAGAAACCCUACAUCACAAUGGGUGCUCGCAUGGAGCUGCCAAUGCUGUAUAGAGUGUCAAGGAGGACCUCAGUGUACCCUUUGCUAUUAAAAACCAUGGAGAAACCAGUUAAUGAUAACAAAAGUGUCCAAUAGGAAUUGAUGUAAAAUUUUAGUUUCAGUGUGAGCUUAGUCGCUGCUCAACAUUUGCAAU